AGUGAACGCUGGCGGCGUGCCUAAUACAUGCAAGUCGAACGGAGUGGCGCACGGGUGAGUAAUAUAUAGCUAAUCUGCCCCUUGCUGGAGGACAACAGUUAGAAAUGACUGCAAAUACCCCAUAGCAAGGGAUGAGACUAUAUCGUAUCAUCUAGUCGGUGGGGUAACGGCCUACCGAGGCUCUGACGCGUAACUGGGCUGGGAGGAUGAUCAGUCACAUGGGAAUUGAGACACUGGCCGAACUCCUACGAGAGGCAACAGUAGGGAAUAUUGCGCAAUGGGGGAAACCCUGACGCAGCAAGGCCGCGAGGAGGAUGACACUGUUCGCAACAUAAACUCCUUUUGUUAGGGAAACGGUACCUAACGAAUAAGCGCCGGCUAACUCCGUGCCAGCAGCCGCGGUAAUUC
rnacentral:rRNA from 1 species